CUGCAAUAAAAGUCCUAUGGGUCAGAGUUCAAUGUAAAGCAACUUAAAACUAAAACCUAGCAAAAAGAUCAAUUGCUUUAUAGUUGACAGUUUGGUGUGGGGGAAUUGCCGACUAUACUUGGAUUGAGUUUUUUUGGUGUUGAUGGGAAAGGAAGGCAUGGGAAUCCUCUGCGAGAUUAGCUUCAAGGUUAUCCCUGAGGAGGAUCUGUGCAAUAAAAUCAUAGAGCAGAGCAGUAUAUAAUGUCAGUUCGACAGCAUGAGAGAACUACUUCUUGAAUGUAUGAUUAACUUCUCAGUUCCCUAUGGUAUCCAUGACAAAAUCCAGAUUUCAAGAUGCAAUGUAGAGGUGCGUGGAGAAUGAAAAGAGAGAAACAUUAGAAUGUGUAAUUGUAGCAAGUGCAUUUGAUGCAUUAGGAUGAUCUCAUCCAACCAAACCAAAAACAUUUCUUCUAGUAUGCAAAGCAAGAGUAGUUGGCCUAAAAAGAAAUCAAAAUCAAUAGAGGUGAUUAUUUCUUCUAAUAUUUCUUCAGAUUUCAAUAUGCUUUCCUUAAACUUAAUGUGAAUAAAUAAAUCGAUAAGGCUCCCUCUCCUUCCUCCUAUCUUUUCUUUGGUUUU
rnacentral:lncRNA from 1 species